UACGGAGGGUGCAAGCGUUAAUCGGAAUUACUGGGCGUAAAGCGCACGUAGGUGGCUUUUUAAGCCAGAUGUGAAAGCCCCGGGCUCAACCUGGGAAUGGCAUCUGAAACUGGUAGGCUAGAGUACAGUAGAGGAGGGUAGAAUUCCAGGUGUAGCGGUGAAAUGCGUAGAGAUCUGGAGGAAUACCGGUGGCGAAGGCGGCCCCCUGGACUUAUACUGACACUCAGGUGCGAAAGCGUGGGGAGCAAACAGG
rnacentral:rRNA from 1 species